AGUGAACGCUGGCGGUAGGCCUAACACAUGCAAGUCGAACGGCAGCACAGUAAGAGCUUGCUCUUACGGGUGGCGCGUGGCGGACGGGUGAGGAAUACAUCGGAAUCUACUUUUUCGUGGGGGAUAACGUAGGGAAACUUACGCUAAUACCGCAUACGACCUACGGGUGAAAGCAGGGGAUCUUCGGACCUUGCGCGAUUGAAUGAGCCGAUGUCGGAUUAGCUAGUUGGCGGGGUAAAGGCCCACCAAGGCGACGAUCCGUAGCUGGUCUGAGAGGAUGAUCAGCCACACUGGAACUGAGACACGGGCCAGACUCCUACGGGAGGCAGCAGUGGGGAAUAUUGGACAAUGGGCGCAAGCCUGAUCCAGCCAUACCGCGUGGGUGAAGAAGGCCUUCGGGUUGUAAAGCCCUUUUGUUGGGAAAGAAAAGCAGCAGGUUAAUACCCCGCUGUUCUGACGGUACCCAAAGAAUAAGCACCGGCUAACUUCGU
rnacentral:rRNA from 1 species